CAUUAACAAAUAUCGUGACCCACGCCAGCUCUCCAUCGUUAAGGUGGCUACUGUAAAAAGUAGAAGGCAUGAGCCCACCCGUGAAUAUAUUACCUUUGUUGCUUUGGCGGGCCGCGGCUUCCGCUGCCGGCUUCUGCUGGCAUGUGCCCGCCAGAGGAUUACAACUCUUGAUUUUUAGUGACGUCCGAGUAUUAUAUAAUAGUUAAAACUUUCAACAACGGAUCUCUUGGUUCUGGCAUCGAUGAAGAACGCAGCGAAAUGCGAUAAGUAAUGUGAAUUGCAGAAUUCAGUGAAUCAUCGAAUCUUUGAACGCACAUUGCGCCCUUUGGUAUUCCGAAGGGCAUGCCUGUUCGAGCGUCAUUAUAACCAGUCAAGCUUGGCUUGGUAUUGGAGUCCGUCAUACGACGGCUUUUAAAAGCAGUGGCAGCGCCGCUGAGCUCUAAGCGUAGUAAAUCUCCUCGCUAUAGGGUUCUUGUGGUAGUUCGCUAUAACCCCCUACUUUUUAAGGUUGACCUCGGAUCAGGUAGGGAUACCC
rnacentral:rRNA from 1 species